AAGCAGCAAAACUCGGCAGCUUCAGCCAUGUGGCUCUGGCUCUAGAGUUAAGAAUGGAAGGAACUACUGGGACAAUUGAUGCUGGUUAGCUGGAGCUAAGAGGUAUGCAAUUAUGAAAAAGAGACCAGCAUCACUGAGUUGAAAUCUGGGAAUUGUUUUCUGGGAGCAUAAAGAAGCUGUGUUCCAGAGAUAGCCAAGGUUGUACCUCAUGCUGCAGUUGGACUUGGUAAUGUGUAAGUCACCCAGGUGGUACUGGUUUUUGAAGGCAUGAAGGUGUCAUGAAGACCAGCUGAGACUUGGCACUGUGAGAGGUCAUGGAAGGCCACUGGAAAAGGUAUAGCCUCAGCUGUAGUUGAUGGCCCAGGACUGAAGGGGCCACGCAAAAGAUUUGAGGCUUGGCACCAUAAAGAGAGCCUAUGAGAGGCUAUUGGUGAAGCCUAGUUGGAGUGAAACACCCUUGUGUAUUGGAGACGUCAGGACCAUGGGAUGAUCACCAAGAACAGCAGCCAUAGUGGAGUGGAUCAACCUGAGCUUAGAGUGCUGCAGAGGGCAGAGCUGGAGAAGUGAUGCCAGCCCUUAGGAGUAGCCCAAAAGAUCAAGUGGAAUCCCAGACACUGAAACAAGAAGCUGUAACAUUGAAAUUGCCUUGGAGAGUCAAAGAAUGUUAAAGAUGCCAGAGCCAUGGGAUAUAUGCUGAGGAAAGCUGCUAACAGGGAGUGGAACCAGCCCAGGAGAAAGCAGUUUGUUGCAGUCAACAAAAAUGAAAAAGGAAUGGAGAUCUGAAGACUGCUUUGACAUCAACCAUGGAGAUGCUGAGUUUGGAGUUUGCCCAGCUGGUUUCCUGCCUUGCUUUGGGGAUUACAGUUAAGUGAUUGGAUGAAUCUCAGAAGGAUUUUAAUAUUGUUGAGACUGCUAUAGACUAUGAGUAUUUUAAAAGUUGGACAAAAUGCAUUUUGCAUUAUGCUAUGUUUAAGUUGGCCCUCAUAGACUCGUGUUUGAACAAGUCUAUGGGGCCAGGGAGUGGAGUGUCAUGGUUUUUAUAUUCUUAGACCAGGGAGUAGCACUAUUUGGGGGUGUGGCCUUGUUGGAAUUGGUGUGACCUGGUUGGAGUAAGUGUGUCACUGUGGGUGUGGGUUUUAAGUUCCUCACCCUAGUUGCCUGGAAGUCAGUCUUCUACUAGCAGCCUUUGGAUGAAGACUUAGAACUCUCAGCUCUGCCUGUCCCAUGCCUGCCUGGAUACUGCCAUGCUCCCACCUUGAUGAUUAUGGACUGAACCUCUGAACCUGUAAGCUAGUCCCAAUUAAAUGUUGGUUGUUUUU
rnacentral:lncRNA from 1 species